AGAAUACAGAGAGGGGACUAGUCCUAUCGAAGAGUAGCAUCUUCAGAGGCCUUGCAGCAAUAGACGAGAGUAGAGCAAGCAACACAUAUAUAAUCAUAUUGUUGCAGCAAUUUUGAUAUGAGGUCAUGCCCAAAGAUCCUUCCUUGACUCCCUGCAAGAAAGCAAUCCCGGAGCAAACAUUCUAGUUAAAUAACAGUUGUAGUUGUAUGAUAUCGGGGCACAACUCCAAAUCGUCUUAUAACCGUGGACACGGCUAUUCGAAUAGUUAAAUUUUCAUCCCUGCAAGGGUGCACCACAGUACCCAACAUGCUUGAUAAACUCUGGCCGGACAUACUUUCCUGGGUCAUGCCCGGCCCCGGAACAUCAACACAUCGCAGCCCUCCCUAGACUCAAUAGAGUGUCCAGCCCGCCGGUCUAAAUCCUAAGCGCGCAAGGGUCAUUGGCCCAUCACCCUUUGCGCUCAUGCAUGAUGCAUGGGCGACCGAUGUCAGUCCUCGCACCUCUUAUACAAGAACAAUGCUUAUCUAGACCAUUCAGGCACGUGCCACUCCAUUGCUGACGUUUGAAGAGCUUCGACUGAUACCACGACGUUGAGUACCCAUAACUUCUCCCACGUGAAGGUUAGUGCGAAAAGGUCUCCCAGCCAACUCAGAUCAAAUACCCAAAUGUAUUAGCAUUUUAAUUAACUCAUCGUCACAUCCACACGGGAAUACACACGCAACACACCAUUCA
rnacentral:lncRNA from 1 species